rnacentral:rRNA from 1 species
GCACUAUAGCUUGCUCUCUGAUUCAGCGGCGGACGGGUGAGUAAUGCCUAGGAAUCUGCCUGGUAGUGGGGGACAACGUCUCGAAAGGGACGCUAAUACCGCAUACGUCCUACGGGAGAAAGCAGGGGACCUUCGGGCCUUGCGCUAUCAGAUGAGCCUAGGUCGGAUUAGCUAGUUGGUGAGGUAAUGGCUCACCAAGGCGACGAUCCGUAACUGGUCUGAGAGGAUGAUCAGUCACACUGGAACUGAGACACGGUCCAGACUCCUACGGGAGGCAGCAGUGGGGAAUAUUGGACAAUGGGCGAAAGCCUGAUCCAGCCAUGCCGCGUGUGUGAAGAAGGUCUUCGGAUUGUAAAGCACUUUAAGUUGGGAGGAAGGGCAGUAAAUUAAUACUUUGCUGUUUUGACGUUACCGACAGAAUAAGCACCGGCUAACUCUGUGCCAGCAGCCGCGGUAAUACAGAGGGUGCAAGCGUUAAUCGGAAUUACUGGGCGUAAAGCGCGCGUAGG